CUACAGAUGGUUAACUGCUUAGCAUGGUGUGGAAUUUUACAUGUCCACCCUCUCAGUGCUAGCUCAUCUCCAAGAAGGCUAGGACACUUCCCUGGGGCUGAAUGUACUGAUAAUACUCCCCUACUGUCUCUUUAAAGCAAACAAAAAUCCUCACAGCAGGGGAAUUCUUUGUUCCAUCAACCUAGGCCAAGUUCUAACAACUGUCCUAGUUUCAGUCUAGAGCCUCUAAUUACUAUGAUUUCUCCUGUGGUGGCCUGAAGAGCAAAGGUAUUUUGCGUUCAGCGAGAUUCCAAGGGGUGCGUGAGUCUUGCAGAAGCAUUUCUAGUAUGGACUAAAAAAGCCUAUGCUUCGCAGUUGCCGUAGAAACCUGACGUCAUAGGGCGACCGUGACGAAUUUUUAAUAAGCCCUGAUUUGGAGAGCAGGUCUCGACCUCAGAAGUUUGGGACUCAGCUGAGAGUGUGGGGUCCCGCUGAGGGGGCUGAACCGCCUUGGAGUGUGAGGAGACAGAAGAAUCCAGAUCCAGCUUUUCCCGCUUUGGGGCUCGGUGCCCCGGCUGUCUUGUAUGUAAAGCCAUUGUGGUCCCUCCCAGCUCCAGUGAGUGUAAGUGUUCCUGCUGGGGUGUCCUGGAGCUGCUUUCCUCUAAAGACAAGGAUGCGGGAGGUUAGGACAGAUGCUGAAUUUCUGGGACUCAGGAUGAAAAUUGGACUAAACUUGUUUGAAAUGGAGUCCAUUUGAGGUCAAGCCUCAACACCUCAUAGGGGAGUAUUGUGAGGAAUUCAAGAAGAAAAGCUCUUCAAGAUUCCAGUGCAGUAUUUGGUACAUCAUGCAUAAUGCCAAUGUUUGCAGCCUUCCCAUUCCAGCUCUUCUGAUCUUUAACAGGGAAGUUGUUUCUUAGUUUCAAUAAAAUUACUAUAUUUUAGUGAGCA
rnacentral:lncRNA from 1 species